rnacentral:rRNA from 1 species
AUUGAACGCUGGCGGCAGGCCUAACACAUGCAAGUCGAGCGGAUGAAGGGAGCUUGCUCCUGGAUUCAGCGGCGGACGGGUGAGUAAUGCCUAGGAAUCUGCCUGGUAGUGGGGGAUAACGUCCGGAAACGGGCGCUAAUACCGCAUACGUCCUGAGGGAGAAAGUGGGGGAUCUUCGGACCUCACGCUAUCAGAUGAGCCUAGGUCGGAUUAGCUAGUUGGUGGGGUAAAGGCCUACCAAGGCGACGAUCCGUAACUGGUCUGAGAGGAUGAUCAGUCACCCUGGAACUGAGACACGGUCCAGACUCCUAAGGGAGGCAGCAGUGGGGAAUAUUGGACCAUGGGCGAAAGCCUGAUCCAGCCAUGCCGCGUGUGUGAAGAAGGUCUUCGGAUUGUAAAGCACUUUAAGUUGGGAGGAAGGGCAGUAAGUUAAUACCUUGCUGUUUUGACGUUACCAACAGAAUAAGCACCGGCUAACUUCGUG